rnacentral:tRNA from 1 species
AGCAUGGUAGCUCAGUGGUUAGAGCGCCCGCCUCAUGAACGGGAGGUCGUGGGUAUGUUCCCCGGCCGAGUCA